CAGUUGGCUAUCCACUGGCCUGCAAGCCUCCUGCCUGCACAUCAGUUACCCAGCCCACUGCCUGUGGAGACUCCUGGUGGAUCAUCUAGCCUCCAGAGUGGUCCCACCUAAGAUGAGGAAGCUGAAACCCUUGAAUGGUGUCAGUUGUGGUCGCAGCCUCGCUUAACUGGCUUCCAGUACCCUUUAAAGGAACAUCCAGAGUAGGCCCCAGGGAGUGGCCCGGGAGUCAUUGACAGACCAGCUCGUGUGGGGAGCCAGCCAGCCAGCCAGCCAGCCAGCUAGCCGGCAACAAGUGUCAUGUUCCUCGAUUUAAA